ACGAACGCUGGCGGCGUGCUUAACACAUGCAAGUCGAACGGUGAAGCAGAGCUUGCUCUGUGGAUCAGUGGCGAACGGGUGAGUAACACGUGAGCAAUCUGCCCCUGACUCUGGGAUAAGCGCUGGAAACGGCGUCUAAUACCGGAUACGAGCUGCGACCGCAUGGUCAGUAGCUGGAAAGAAUUUCGGUCAGGGAUGAGCUCGCGGCCUAUCAGCUUGUUGGUGAGGUAAUGGCUCACCAAGGCGUCGACGGGUAGCCGGCCUGAGAGGGUGACCG
rnacentral:rRNA from 1 species